CAAUGUCAACUCCUGUGGCACAACUAGAAGGUUUGACAACAACCUCCUGACUUACGAGAAUGAAGUGCUGUUCACAUCUUACCGGUUGAGAGUUGCCUGUCACUAUCUGGUCAAUGACACCAGGGUAGUACAGUUCUUGUACCAGAAUAAUCCUGCACCUGUAGUCCAGCCUGGCUUGGGGGACCUUGCAGUCAUCAUGCGGCUUG